CAGUCAAGCUGCCCAUCCCCCACCAUUCCAGCCAGUAAAGUCAUUUCCCCAUCACAGAAGCACAGCAAAAAGGCAUUAAAGCAGGCCCUGAAGCAACAACAACAGAAGAAGCAGCAGCAGCAGCAGCAGCAGCAAUGCAGGCCAAGCAUGUCCAUCUCCAAUCAGCACCUCUCUCUCAAGACUGUCAAAACAGCCAGUGACUCUGUACCUGCCAAACCUGGUAGGCAGACUGAGCAGUCACCUCUCCAAUAGGAUUUUUCCCCCACCACAUUUGUACUUUUGGUAUUGUAAAUUUUUAUACUGCAUUGUUCAUUUUUAAAUUGCUAUAUUUAUUAGCAUAAUCUUUCUGCUGCCGCAGAACUGAUAC
rnacentral:lncRNA from 1 species